AUUAAUAAUAGAGGUCGCGUACCUUACAAAUUAAU
rnacentral:ncRNA from 1 species